GUCAGGAUGGCCGAGUGGUCUAAUGCGCCAGACUCAAGCUCUGGAGGCGUGGGUUCAAAUCCCACUUCUGACA